GGAAGGGCUGCGCCUCGGAGCGGCUGUCUGAAGCGUCAGCAAGAUGUCAGGCUAAACAAUCCAAAUACGGUUGAGGAGAGAGAAAAGGAACUAAACAAGUGGAAUCAAAUCGUACAAGUGGUGGACCACUACCAGGGAAAGCAGCUCGCGUCCCCGAGACGAGAGUUGGCCGAGCCAGCACUCCUCUUGGAAACUACACUUUGUUUUUCCUCCAGGGAGCUGGGGACUCAAUCACCUGUGACUCACCAUUCCUGUGUUGCCUACACAGCACACACGUCAAGGUCUAAAAUGGCAUCUGCUCCCCGUCCCCUUCCCCCACGCCGGCCCCCACCUGCCCCUGGGUCAGACACCUUGAGGGAAUGUGUGUGGCUCCACCUUGAGCGUGGAAGCCAGGAACCUGCAGCUCCUCCCCCCCAACCCCCCCACUGAAACAUGGAGCAUGACCCAAAGAAUAAAGUUUUCCAUUUCCUGCCCUUACUCGUGUCGUAAUGCUUGUUUCUCUCCGGGGCUGCGCUCCCCUGCACUCGUGCUGUUAGAGAAUGAGAGCCUUGAAAAUUCAAAUUCAAAAAGAGUCUAUUCCUCGCCAAGUGUGCUAAACUUACAUCUGGGUGUGGGCUGUGGUUAUGAUUGUAGAAAACUUCAGUUAAAGAGAGGAACACUGACAUUAACAAUAACACCAGUCACUUCUUGAAUAUUUAACACGGUGCUGAGUAUUUCCCUUGUUAUCACAGUUGUUCCCCCCAACAACUGCACUGUUAUUAUGCCCGUUUGAGACGGAGAGUGGUUCAGUAACCUGCCCAAGGCUACACAGCUAUUAAAUGCUAGAGCUGGGAUUUGAACCGGGUCACUGGAACUUCAAAGUCGGUGCUUCUCACUUUCCUUGUAAGCCUCACCUCGCCCUGCCCCGCCCCACCGCCAUUUUGUGCCCUGCUCUGCACUGACAUACCACCUGAUGUCCCAGUUCAAGAAGCCUCUCUCCAUCUCCUGCCACCCACUACAUCCUGACUUAAUUUCUCUCCUUGCCGGCACCAGUGUGUGGCGAAGAGAAAGAGGGGGCUUGUUUCAAAGUGAAAUACUCUCUAAGGUUAAAAGACUGGCUUUGGAGGCCUUGGGGGGGGGGGUUACGAAUGAACAUUUUAUCAACACAAAUGUCAUUGCCUGCCCCAAAACAAACAGCGUCCCACCCGGCUUGUUCCUUUAUGAGGCAUUCAAUCAAUAAAAUGAGAGCAGGACUCUGUCAGAUUUAUUGGCUAGGUUCAAACCGAACACCUCUUCCACCCGCCAAAGGCUGGGUCACCAGCUCUACCUUUCGUCCCAACUCUGGACAGCCCCUGUUUUCCCCUCCGGGGCUACAAUGGCUCAUUGUUUGAGGCAGGCCUUGUGAGAAGUUGUGUUUGUUUUGCCUCUUAUCUUAUCAGCUCCAG